rnacentral:rRNA from 1 species
AACUUUCAACAACGGAUCUCUUGGUUCUGGCAUCGAUGAAGAACGCAGCGAAAUGCGAUAAGUAAUGUGAAUUGCAGAAUUCAGUGAAUCAUCGAAUCUUUGAACGCACAUUGCGCCCCUGGUAUUCCGGGGGGCAUGCCUGUUCGAGCGUC